rnacentral:rRNA from 1 species
AUUGAACGCUGGCGGCAUGCCUAACACAUGCAAGUCGAACGGCCUGCGGACGGGUGAGUAAUGUAUAGGGAUCUGGCCGGUCGAGGGUGAUAACUACUGGAAACGGUUGCUAAUACCGCCUACUAUCGGAUGCAUCCAUAUGGGAUUAUCUAGUAGGUGGGGUAAAGGCUAACCUAGGCGAAGAGCUAUAGCUGGUCUGAGAGGAGGAUCAGCCACACUGGGACUGAGACACGGCCCAGACUCCUACGGGAGGCAGCAGUGGGGAAUAUUGCAAAAGGGGGGAAAGCCUGACGCAGCAAUGCCGCGUGUAGGAAGAAGGUCUUAGGUUGGUAAAGUAUUUUGAGCGGGGAGGCGGUAUCUGAAGAAGAAGCAACGGCUAACUACGUGCCAGCAGCCGCGGUAAUAC